rnacentral:piRNA from 2 species
UGGAAAGGCAAGAAGAGCAAAGGCUCCC